rnacentral:rRNA from 1 species
AUUGAGGAAAAGCCUUCCUCAACACAUCCUGGUCAACCUUACCUGAGCUUAGAAGCUAAGCAGGAUUAGACCUGGUUAGUACUGGAUGGGAGAGCACAAAAAGAUAUACCAGGCUGUUGGCAACA